rnacentral:misc_RNA from 1 species
GAUGAAGAACGCAGCGAAAUGCGAUAAGUAAUGUAAAUUGCAGAAUUCAGUGAAUCAUCGAAUCUUUGAACGCACAUUGCGCCCGUCAGUAUUCUGGCGGGCAUGCCUGUUCGAGCGUCAUUACGCCCCUCAAGUCCCCUGUGGACUUGGUGUUGGGGAUCGGCGAGGCUGGUUUUCCAGCACAGCCGUCCCUUAAAUUAAUUGGCGGUCUCGCCGUGGCCCUCCUCUGCGCAGUAGUAAAACACUCGCAACAGGAGCCCGGCGCGGUCCACUGCCGUAAAACCCCCCAACUUUUUAUAGUUGACCUCGAAUCAGGUAGGACUACCCGCUGAACUUAAGCAUAUCAAUAAGCGGAGGA